GAUGAACGCUGGCGGCGUGCCUAAUACAUGCAAGUCGAACGCAUUGUGGUUGAAAUGAUAUGAAGAACUUGUUCAGAUUUGAUUUUCAACAUUGCAAUGAGUGGCGAACGGGUGAGUAACACGUGGGAAACCUACCUCUUAGCAGGGGAUAACAUUUGGAAACAAAUGCUAAUACCGUAUAAUAAUUAAAACCGCAUGGUUUUAGUUUAAAAGAUGGUCUUGCUAUCACUAAGAGAUGGUCCCGCGGUGUAUUAGUUAGUUGGUGAGGUAAUGGCUCACCAAGACAAUGAUACAUAGCCGAGUUGAGAGACUGACCGGCCACAAUGGGACUGAGACACGGCCCAUACUCCUACGGGAGGCAGCAGUAGGGAAUCUUCCACAAAUGGACCGAAAGUCUGAUGGAGCAACGCCGCGUGUGUGAUGAAGGUUUCGGCUCCGGUAAAACACUGUUGUAAGAGAAGAAUGACAUUGAGAGUAACUGUUCAAUGUGUGACGGUAU
rnacentral:rRNA from 1 species